ACGGGAGGCAGCAGUGGGGAAUAUUGCACAAUGGGGGAAACCCUGAUGCAGCGACGCCGCGUGAGUGAAGAAGUAUUUCGGUAUGUAAAGCUCUAUCAGCAGGAAAGAAAAUGACGGUACCUGACUAAGAAGCCCCGGCUAACUACGUGCCAGCAGCCGCGGUAAUACGUAGGGGGCAAGCGUUAUCCGGAUUUACUGGGUGUAAAGGGAGCGUAGACGGUAAGGCAAGUCUGAAGUGAAAUGCCAGGGCUCAACCCUGGAACUGCUUUGGAAACUGUCCUACUAGAGUGCAGGAGAGGUAAGUGGAAUUCCUAGUGUAGCGGUGAAAUGCGUAGAUAUUAGGAGGAACACCAGUGGCGAAGGCGGCUUACUGGACUGUAACUGACGUUGAGGCUCGAAAGCGUGGGGAGCAAGCAGGAUUAGAUACCCUGGUA
rnacentral:rRNA from 1 species